rnacentral:ribozyme from 1 species
UGAUUUGUACAUUCAUAUUUUACUUUACUUUCAUAUUAUCAUGUAACCCUAUAACCAACCCCUUAUUCGUGUAAUCUUUGAUUCCUGGAAAAACAAAAAUACAGGACAUUUUAACCAAAAAAAAAAAAAAAAAAAGUC